UACGUAGGGGGCAAGCGUUGUCCGGAAUUAUUGGGCGUAAAGCGCGCGCAGGCGGUCGAUUAAGUUUGGUGUUUAAGGCUGAGGCUCAACCUCAGUUCGCACUGAAAACUGGUUGACUUGAGUACAGAAGAGGAAAGUGGAAUUCCACGUGUAGCGGUGAAAUGCGUAGAUAUGUGGAGGAACACCAGUGGCGAGGGCGACUUUCUGGGCUGUAACUGACGCUGAGGCGCGAAAGCGUGGGUAGCAAACAGG
rnacentral:rRNA from 1 species